UACGUAGGGUCCGAGCGUUUGUCCGGAAUUACUGGGCGUAAAGAGCUCGUAGGUGGUUUGUCGCGUUGUUCGUGAAAACUCACAGCUUAACUGUGGGCGUGCGGGCGAUACGGGCAGACUUGAGUACUGCAGGGGAGACUGGAAUUCCUGGUGUAGCGGUGGAAUGCGCAGAUAUCAGGAGGAACACCGGUGGCGAAGGCGGGUCUCUGGGCAGUAACUGACGCUGAGGAGCGAAAGCCGUGGGGAGCGAACAGG
rnacentral:rRNA from 1 species